rnacentral:lncRNA from 1 species
GACACAGUGCCGCCCACCGAGCCGAGUCCCACCCACAGCGCGCGGUCCAGCCCAGACGAAGCCCCGCCCAUCGGGCUAAGCCCCACCCACAGAGCACAGUCCCGCCCACCGAGGACAGCCCCACCCACAGCGCGCGGUCCAGCCCAGACGAAGCCCCGCCCACCUGACGUCAUUCCGCUCGGGGCGGGGUCCCACCCUCGUAACGUAGCCCCGCCCCUGGGGCGAAGUGUCCGCCCCCCUCCAUGGGAGGCCGGGCCCGAAGAGCAUCCCUUACCUGCGGCGGGAUGGAGGAGCGGCCCUCGGCCCCGGCGAGCUCAGGGCGUUGGAGAUGCAGCCAAGCCUGGACUUCCCGCGCGGGGAGAUGACUAUUCAUAGGAUAUGCGAUAUGCCCGCUGCAGAGAGCAUCCAUUAUCUGCUCAGCAUGCUUCCUGGGGAACCAUUCUUCUCCCAUUGGGUGGUCCUGGUUGAGCUGAUAAUUACAGCCCUCCUCUGAAGAUGUUCCACGUAGAGCUGGUGAAGAAUGCUAUCUCCUGCACUUUGUGUCUUGGUAUUGGGAUGAUGUGAAAUUAAGGCUACUAUUAGCCAUCUUCUCCGGCAACUUGCUAGAGACCUGUCUGCAGGGGGAGAGGGCAACAUAUAAAAGAAGACAGACCCGAACCAUAGAACACAGGACCCUGAUGAUGUCAUCUUAGUCUUUGGAUUCAGCCAUAGAUUGAAGAAAGCUCUAUCCCUUGACUUCUGUUACCUAAGGAAAAACACUGGGUUUAUUGGGGUUUUUUUUUUUUGGCUUAAAUGGUCUUGGGUUAUUAUUAUUUUUUAAGAUUUUAUUUAUGUAUUCAUGAGAAACAAAGAGAGAUAGAGAGAGAGAGGUAGAGACACCAGUGGAGGGAGAAGCAGGCUCCAUGCAGGGAGCCCAACAUGGGACUCGAUCCCAGGUCUCCAGGAUCACGUCCUGGGCCGAAGGCGGUGCUAAACCCCUGAGCCACCCGGGCUGCCCUGUCUUGGGUUAUUAUUAUUUUUUUUAAUCCUUUGUACUAGAAAGAGUCUUUACUCCUGCCCCACCUACUUCACAGGAGUAUUGUGCCCAGUUGACAAAAUACAAAGCAUGAGGACAUAAGAUAUUACUAGGACAAAAGAAAGGAUCAUGUCAAUUUUCUAAAAGCCAUUUAGUUACGAACCAAAGGAAUCAUUAUAUAAGGAAAAAAUAGCUUCAAGUUUUGUAAUCUGUAAAAGUACAUGCAAAUUUAUUUCCAGUUUUUCUA